UCCUCGUUAGUAUAGUGGUGAGUAUCCCCCGCCUGUCACGCGGGAGACCGGGGGUUCGAUUCCCCGACGGGGAG
rnacentral:tRNA from 1 species